GCGCGAGUGCUGGAAUAGGUAGACAGGCACGUUUGAGGGGCGUGUGUCUAGUGGCGUGCGGGUUCAAGUCCCGCCUCGCGCACCA
rnacentral:tRNA from 1 species